rnacentral:sRNA from 1 species
CUUGGUCAUUUAGAGGAAGUAAAAGUCGUAACAAGGUUUCCGUAGGUGAACCUGCGGAAGGAUCAUUACCGAAGUACAGGCCCUCUCGUAGGGCUAAACUUCCACCCUUUGUGAACUACACUUUGUUGCUUUGGCGAGACGCCCUCGUGGCCACCGGCUCCGGCUGGUGCGCGCUCGCCAGAGAAAACCCAAACCCAAACCAUAUUUAGUGAUUUGUCUGAAAACAAGUUUAAUUAUUUAAAACUUUCAACAACGGAUCUCUUGGCUCUGGCAUCGAUGAAGAACGCAGCGAAAUGCGAUAAGUAAUGUGAAUUGCAGAAUUCAGUGAAUCAUCGAAUCUUUGAACGCACAUUGCGCCCGCCGGCACUCCGGCGGGCAUGCCUGUCCGAGCGUCAUUUCAACCCUCAGGCCCACCCUUCCGGGGGAGCGGGCCUGGUUCUGGGGAUCGGCGGCCCUCGCGGCCCCCGUCCCUCAAAUUCAGUGGCGGUCGCGCCGCAGCCUCCCCUGCGUAGUAGCACAACCUCGCACCGGAGAGCGGAACGACCACGCCGUAAAACACCCAAUUUUUUAAGGUUGACCUCGGAUCAGGUAGGAAUACCCGCUGAACUUAAGCAUAUCAAUAAGCGGAGGAAAAGAAACCAACAGGGAUUGCCUCAGUAACGGCGAGUGAAGCGGCAACAGCUCAAAUUUGAAAUCUGGCCUCACGGUCCGAGUUGUAAUUUGUAGAGGAUGCUUUUGGCGAGGUGCUUUCCGAGUUCCCUGGAACGGGACGCCAUAGAGGGUGAGAGCCCCGUACGGUAAGACCACCGAGCCUCUGUAAAGCUCCUUCGACGAGUCGAGUUGUUUGGGAAU